rnacentral:rRNA from 1 species
AUUGAACGCUGGCGGCAGGCUUAACACAUGCAAGUCGAGCGGGGUGAUGGUGCUUGCACUAUCACUUAGCGGCGGACGGGUGAGUAAUGCUUAGGAAUCCGCCUAUUAGUGGGGGACAACAUCUCGAAAGGGAUGCUAAUACCGCAUACGUCCUACGGGAGAAAGCAGGGGAUCACUUGUGACCUUGCGCUAAUAGAUGAGCCUAAGUCGGAUUAGCUAGUUGGUGGGGUAAAGGCCUACCAAGGCGACGAUCUGUAGCGGGUCUGAGAGGAUGAGCCGCAACACUGGGAAGGAGACACGGCCCAGACUCCUACGGGAGGUAGCAGUGGGGAAUAUUGGACAAUGGGGGGAACCCUGAUCCAGCCAUGCCGCGUGUGUGAAGAAGGCCUUAUGGUUGUAAAGCACUUUAAGCGAGGAGGAGGCUCUUUUGGUUAAUACCCAAGAUGAGUGGACGUUACUCGCAGAAUAAGCACCGGCUAACUCUGUGCCAGCCGCCGCCGUAA